GACGAACGCUGGCGGCGUGCUUAACACAUGCAAGUCGAACGGAAAGGCCCUGCUUUUGUGGGGUGCUCGAGUGGCGAACGGGUGAGUAACACGUGAGUAACCUGCCCUUGACUUUGGGAUAACUUCAGGAAACUGGGGCUAAUACCGGAUAGGAGCUCCUGCUGCAUGGUGGGGGUUGGAAAGUUUCGGCGGUUGGGGAUGGACUCGCGGCUUAUCAGCUUGUUGGUGGGGUAGUGGCUUACCAAGGCGUUGACGGGUAGCCGGCCUGAGAGGGUGACCGGCCACAUUGGGACUGCGAUACGGCCCAGACGCCUACGGGAGGCAGCAGUGGGGAAUAUUGCACAAUGGGCGGAAGCCUGAUGCAGCAACGCCGCGUGCGGGAUGACGGCCUGCGGGUUGUAAACCGCUUUCGCCUGUGACGAAGCGUGAGUGACGGUAAUGGGUAAAGAAGCACCGGCUAACUACGUG
rnacentral:rRNA from 1 species